GAAAUCCCAUGUGAAGGGACAAAUUUGACGCAACCAAUUCACACUUAAAACCAGAUCACAACUUCCCAGUGGAAUAAUAUGAAGAUCCAUGUUUAAACUCAUCCCUUGGACAUAAACAAAGAAAUUAGAGCACAUCCUUCACCUUCAACGCGAUUCCCGUUAGCGACGUGCACCUCAAAUCGAGUACCCCACUCCGGCGGAAAAGCCAUUCGCUUAGCUACUCGUGAAUUGAUGAAACUAUGUAUAGCACCAGAGUCU
rnacentral:lncRNA from 1 species